GUCACGUGACAAAAGAACGAACGACUCGAAAGACUCGAGAGAUGAACUAAUCAAUUCUCUUUCCGGCUCAGGCUGCAUUGGUUAAGCUUAUGGGGCUGUCAUGUGAUGAACGAACGACUCAGACCCGAAGACUUGUCAGCAACAGUGCAACCACAUUGUUGCGCUACUGUACCAAGCAGCAUGCUACUCUCAGCUUGGCGUCAGUGCAGUUCCUCCAGUUCACAGCUGUACUGAAACUGAGCAGAGCUAGCACAAACCCAGAACAAUGAGAGGUUUGCCAUGUACGGGGGUCAGAGCUCCGCUGAACACUUGGCUGAAAGGAUCUACAAAAGAACUUGCCAGACAGCAGACAUGAAGAGAGGCCUUGAAAUGGAAUCUGCAGCGGUUGAGGAAUACUGUCUGUUGCGCACAGUGAACUUCAAUCCUUGUGGAUUCUUAAUUCACCCAGAUGUACCUUGGCUUGGUGCCUCUCCUGAUGGCAUCAUAUAUGACCCCACGGAGCACCAAACUUUUGGCCUUUUGGAGAUAAAGUGCCCAAAUGUAAAAAAGUUAUGUUGAUUACCCUUACCUGAAGUUGCAGAAUGGCACACCAGAGCUGGAACAACAGCAUGCAUACUACUGGCAAGUUUCAGGUCAGAUGCUGAUCUAAGGAUUGGACUGGUGUGAUUUUUGUUGUAUAUGCACAGGAUGAUAUGAUGAACCAGCACAUCUACAAAGACAGCAGAGUGUUUAAAACUAUUAGAGAGAGGGCUGACCAUUUCUUUUUGUAUUUCUACCUGCCAAGAUCUCUAGAAAUGUAAAUAAUUACAAGUUGUUUUACACUGUAACAAAGUUAUUUAUUUACAUUUUUACAGAAACACUGUAAGGUUAUUUAUAUUUAGAUGUUUACAUUACAGUGGUGUUAAGACAAUGCUUUAUAAAGUUAUUUGUUAACUGAAAUGCUAUCAAAGCAAGUGUUUUGCCUAGUCUUUAAUCCUUUACCCAUGCGUUUACCAAGAAGCCAACUGGUAGUUCACAAGGAGGCAAGCAACAGUGUAUAGCUGGUUUACGCUCCCGGUGAUUGAGAGAGGGAUGACUGAUUAAAACAGCUUGUGUUGCUUCACCCCGCGUAUGAAACACUCAGUGUGGACCCUCAGCUGAGCAAUGGAUUGAGUCUCCCUUACCUCAACAGCCAACAUUUGUUCCCUCUUUGACAGGUAAGCAGGUCUGUCAACUUUGCAUGGCACACAAUCAUACACCAGAAAACCUUUGUUGACCAUAAUGGCCAUUCCAGGUUUCAGCAGAGACACAAUCCCAGACUGCUUCAAAAGCUCCUUGCCACUAACAGAUCCUGCGUACAGGGAUGACACAAAUGUGACUGCACCAUGUGGUGCCAUACCGAUUAACCCCUUGAAGGUGCAAUGGGACCUUUAUCGUGUGAGCCUUGACCGCCUCCUCAGACAUCCAGAUGAGCACCGAUUCAAGAAUGGCAUACAGAAAAUUGGCCCAGGUUGUAAUAAUGCGACUCACGGUAGACUGAUGGAUAUUGAAUCUAAGCCAGAUCCCUCUGUGUUAGACCAACAGAGAGAUGGACCAUGAAGAGGAAAAACUCAUCUAUUGGCUGCAGGGACUGACCCUGGUAAAAUAACAAAAUUUUAAAUACUGUUUAUAUAAUGUGUAUGCUUACAUAGAAAAAAUAUUUUCUUUACUUCCCUAUUACCCCACAUAAUGCAAUGUAUAUUGUAUGUAAUGUAUAAUGUAAUAAAUGGUAAAUGAAUGAUUAAUGUUAUAAAUGUUAGUGGUGUUAAGACAAUGCUUUAUAAAGUUAUUUAUGUGUUUACAGAAACGCUAUCAAAGUUGUUUAUAUUUACAUGUUUACAUUCAUCUACAUAUUUAUGUUACAGACUCUACAAAUAAAUCCAAACUGAUCCAUCCCCCAACAGCCUAGCCUAGUCUUUAAUCCUUUACCCAUGCGUUUACCAAGAAGCCAACUGGUAGUUCACAAGGAGGCAAGCAACAGUGUAUAGCUGGUUUAUGCUCCCGGUCAUUGAGAGAGGGAUGACUGAUUCAAAUACAUAAUAAAAUUAUGAUGCAUUGCCUGAUGCUCCAACUUCACUCCGUGUUGUAGCUGCCCUUGCUCUGGUCACAUGAACCAUGUUGUGGGAUGCAGGCUCAACAAGUCUGCAGAACGCCAUCAAGUGGUUCACUGUACAAUCCAUCAUCCCAAAAUGGAAAGAGUAUGGCGCAACUGCAAACCUACCAAGGCAUGGCCGUCCACCUAAACUGACAGGCCAGGCAAGGAGAGCAUUAAUCAGAGAAGCAGCCAAGAGGCCCUGGAGGAGCUGCAGAGAUCCACAGCUCAGGUGGGAGUAUCUGUCCACAGGACAACUAUUAGUCGUGCACUCCACAAAUCUGGCCUUCAUGGAAGAGUGGCAAGAAGUAAGCCAUUGUUGAAAGAAAGCCAUAAGAGGUCCUGUUUGCAGUUUGCGACAAGCCAUGUGGGGGACACAGCAAACAUG